rnacentral:tRNA from 1 species
GCACCUUUAGCUCAGUUGGUAGAGCAGCUGACUCUUAAUCAGCGGGUCCACGGUUCGAGUCCGUGAAGGUGUACCA